rnacentral:rRNA from 1 species
AUGGCACUAGUAACUUUGCAAUGCAAGAGGAAAUCCAAGGUGGAAUGCGCAAAUGAAUUGCAACAGACAAAGCUGUUCGCCAUCUGGAACUUUCAUGGAGAUAUGUACAUGCAAAUUGUCGACGCCACAGAAAAUUUUAGUGACACUCACUGCAUUGGAAUUGGAAGUAGUGGGUCAAUAUAUAGAGCUCAGUUACCAAUAUGCGAGAUAUUUGCAGUAAAGAAGAUUCAUAAAAUAGAAGAUGAUGAGCUAUUUAAUCGAGAAAUAGAUGCCUUGAUGCAUAUUCGGCAUCGCAAUAUUGUGAAGUUAUUUGGCUACUGUUCUGCUACUCAAGGAAGAUUUCUUUUGUAUGAAUACAUGGAAAGAGGAAGCUUAGCAGCAUCUUGA